UACGUAGGGGGCAAGCGUUGUCCGGAAUUAUUGGGCGUAAAGAGCGUGUAGGCGGCCAGAUAAGUCCGCUGUGAAAUCUCGAGGCUCAACUUCGAGCUGUCGGUGGAAACUAUCUGGCUAGAGUCCGGAAGAGGAGAGUGGAAUUCCCGGUGUAGCGGUGAAAUGCGCAGAUAUCGGGAAGAACACCCGUGGCGAAGGCGGCUCUCUGGGACGGUACUGACGCUGAGACGCGAAAGCGUGGGGAGCGAACAGG
rnacentral:rRNA from 1 species